rnacentral:tRNA from 1 species
GCCCCAAUAGCUUAAUGGUGGAGCACAUGACUGUUAAUCAUGCGGUUCCAGGUUCGAGUCCUGGUUGGGGCGCCA